rnacentral:rRNA from 1 species
UACAGAGGGGGCAAGCGUUGUUCGGAAUUACUGGGCGUAAAGGGCGCGUAGGCGGCCUGUUAAGUCGAACGUGAAAUCCCCGGGCUCAACCCGGGAACUGCGUCCGAUACUGGCAGGCUUGAAUCCGGGAGAGGGAUGUGGAAUUCCAGGUGUAGCGGUGAAAUGCGUAGAUAUCUGGAGGAACACCGGUGGCGAAGGCGGCAUCCUGGACCGGUAUUGACGCUGAGGUGCGAAAGCGUGGGGAGCAAACAGG